GACGAACGCUGGCGGCGUGCUUAACACAUGCAAGUCGAACGGAAAGGCCCCUUUGGGGGUACUCGAGUGGCGAACGGGUGAGUAACACGUGAGUAACCUGCCCUUGACUUCGGGAUAACUUCAGGAAACUGGGGCUAAUACCGGAUAGGAAUCCUUGCUGCAUGGUGGGGGUUGGAAAGCUUCGGCGGUUUUGGAUGGACUCGCGGCUUAUCAGCUUGUUGGUGGGGUAGUGGCUUACCAAGGCUUUGACGGGUAGCCGGCCUGAGAGGGCGACCGGCCACAUUGGGACUGAGAUACGGCCCAGACUCCUACGGGAGGCAGCAGUGGGGAAUAUUGCACAAGGGGCCGAAGCCUGAUGCAGCAACGCCGCGUGCGGGAUGACGGCCUUCGGGUUGUAAACCGCUUUCAGCAGGGGCGAAGCUUGUGGUGACGGUACCUGCAGAAGAAGCACCGGCUAACUACGUG
rnacentral:rRNA from 1 species